rnacentral:tRNA from 1 species
CCCUGGUGACUAGGCUGGUAAAGAAUUUGCCUGCAAUGCAGGAGACCCAGGUUCAAAUCCUGGAUCAGGAA